GCGGGAGUGGUGAAAUUGGUAUACACGCAGGUUUUAGGUACCUGUGCCGUAAGGCGUGAGGGUUCAAGUCCCUUCUCCCGCACCG
rnacentral:tRNA from 1 species